rnacentral:rRNA from 1 species
AUAAACGCUGGCGGCGUGCAUGAGACAUGCAAGUCGAACGAAGGAUCGGGCUUGCUCGAUCCUUAGUGGCGGACGGCUGAGUAACGCGUAGGUGACCUACCCCGAAGUGGGGAAUAACUGCCCGAAAGGGUGGCUAAUACCGCAUGUGGUCGCACGUUCAUUCGUGCGAGUAAAGCCGCAAGGCGCUUCGGGAGGGGCCUGCGUCCGAUUAGCUCGUUGGCGGGGUAAUGGCUUACCAAGGCGACGAUCGGUAGGUGGUCUGAGAGGACGAUCACCCAGACUGGGACUGAGACACGGCCCAGACUCCUACGGGAGGCAGCAGUCGGGAAUGUUGCUCAAUGGGGGAAACCCUGAAGCAGCAACGCCGCGUGAGGGAUGAAGGCCUUCGGGUUGUAAACCUCUUUUGUCAGGGACGAUGAUGACGGUACCUGGCGAAUAAGCCACGGCUAACUACGUG